CAAGGACGCACUCAAAGCCGGCAAGGCAGUCAAAUACAUUCAUGAAGGCGGUUGGCAAGGCUGGAUUUAUCUAGACAAUUCUGCUGUUACAAGAAAGCAAAAGUCAUCGGGACAGACGGUAAAUGGGGAAAGAGCAACAACAGGACCAAUGAAAAGGUCUCAAAAUAUUGAGAAUUUCUUCAGUGUAAACCUACAGAAGCAGGAAGCAGUGAAGCAGCAGGGUGUAUCAGGGAUGGGCAGCAGAAUGAUCAGCCUUCAUCUCUGUCCAAUGACAAUGCAAAUCAAGGAGCGUCCAGGAAGAGCAGCCGUCGUUACAACACGGUGAUUAAUGGGGAUCUCGCAAGAUACCAGACCUGAUGCUGCACCGAACUACUGAGUCAGUCCUCCGGCAGUAAAUGAGGUCUUCAGCCCUUUAUAUGCAAUCAAGACUUUCACCAGAACAGGAGGGGCUGUGGCUCAGGUGUUGGAGCCGGCGGUUCGAUCAAGAAGCGCGUCCAGCAUAGAAACUACGAGGAUGGUGUUCCACUGUGGCGACCCCUAACAGGAGCGGCCGAGAGACAACAGCAACACAUUGGACGGACAGAACGAAGGAGGUCGAUUAUAACCUCUUGUCUUAUAGACGAAGGCUGAAGCUGUUGUCAGGCGACAAUCACCACCUGCUCCCUGCAAGAAACCAUUACUGCGGCAGAGAAAACUUACAAACAUCCCCU